CCUACGGGUGGCAGCAGUGGGGAAUAUUGCACAAUGGGGGAAACCCUGAUGCAGCGACGCCGCGUGAGUGAAGGAGUAUUUCGGUAUGUAAAGCUCUAUCAGCAGGGAAGAAAAUGACGGUACCUGAUUAAGAAGCCCCGGCUAACUACGUGCCAGCAGCCGCGGUAAUACGUAGGGGGCAAGCGUUAUCCGGAUUUACUGGGUGUAAAGGGAGCGUAGACGGCAGCACAAGUCUGGAGUGAAUUGCCGGGGCUGAACCCCGGGACUGCUUUGGAAACUGUGCAGCUAGAGUGAAGGAGGGGUAAGUGGAAUUCCUAGUGUAGCGGUGAAAGGCGUAGAUAUGAGGAGGAACACCAGUGGCGAAGGCGGGUUACUGGACUGUAACUGACGUUGAGGCUCGAAAGCGUGGGGAGCAAACAGGAUUAGAUACCCUGGUAGUC
rnacentral:rRNA from 1 species